GAUGAACGCUGGCGGCGUGCUUAACACAUGCAAGUCGAACGAAGCUGCUUAACUGAUCUUCUUCGGAAUUGACGUUUUGUAGACUGAGUGGCGGACGGGUGAGUAACGCGUGGGUAACCUGCCCUGUACAGGGGGAUAACAGUCAGAAAUGACUGCUAAUACCGCAUAAGACCACAGCACCGCAUGGUGCAGGGGUAAAAACUCCGGUGGUACAGGAUGGACCCGCGUCUGAUUAGCUGGUUGGUGAGGUAACGGCUCACCAAGGCGACGAUCAGUAGCCGGCUUGAGAGAGUGAACGGCCACAUUGGGACUGAGACACGGCCCAAACUCCUACGGGAGGCAGCAGUGGGGAAUAUUGCACAAUGGGGGAAACCCUGAUGCAGCGACGCCGCGUGAGUGAAGAAGUAUCUCGGUAUGUAAAGCUCUAUCAGCAGGGAAGAAAAUGACGGUACCUGACUAAGAAGC
rnacentral:rRNA from 1 species